rnacentral:siRNA from 1 species
UGGAAUUUGCCAAUCUGGUGCUCC